CCUACGGGAGGCAGCAGUGAGGAAUAUUGGUCAAUGGCCGGAAGGCUGAACCAGCCAUGCCGCGUGAAGGUCAGUGCCCUAUGGGCGUUAAACUUCUUUUGUGCGGGAGCAAUAAUGGUCACGUGUGGCCAGACGAGAGUACCGUACGAAUAAGCAUCGGCUAACUCCGUGCCAGCAGCCGCGGUAAUACGGGGGAUGCAAGCGUUAUCCGGAUUUAUUGGGUUUAAAGGGUGCGUAGGCUGUGAGGUAAGUCAGCGGUGAAAUGCCCCCGCUCGACGGGGUGAAGUGCCAUUGAUACUGCCUGGCUGGAAUGCGGAUGCCGUGGGAGGAAUGUGUGGUGUAGCGGUGAAAUGCAUAGAUAUCACACAGAACACCGAUUGCGAAGGCAUCUCACGAAUCCGCGAUUGACGCUGAUGCACGAAAGCGUGGGUAUCAAACAGGAUUAGAUACCCGUGUAGUC
rnacentral:rRNA from 1 species